UUUGAAAUUUUUGGAUUAACUGGAAAACUAUGGAAUAGCUUCACUCAAACUUAUAAUAUAAGUUUUACAGUUAUCAGACCAAGUGAUGGGUUAUGGGGUCUCAAAGUGAACGGUUCGUGGAAUGGUAUGAUCGGUAAAGUAUUUACAAAUAUAUGUCAACUAAGUUUGGGUCCCUUUGAAUAUAUGUCCGACCGCUUGGAAGCAAUUAAUUAUACAAAUAGUUUAUUUACGGACUUAAAUACCAUUAUCACAACUGCCAAUACCAUA